rnacentral:miRNA from 1 species
CCGCGAGUGCCGCGCCCGUGUCGCGCCACGCGGGGCACCGUGGGCUCAGCGCGUGGCGCCUGGAG